AAAGCAUUGUGGCCAACUGUCAAAUAGACAAGUACAUUUUGGAAAUAAGAAUAAUGAGAAUUAACGUCAAUCUGCGCAUUCAUAUCUACAUGAUACCAUGUAAGAUGCAUGCUACCUAGGUCUCUACCGUGCAUGUCAUAUACAAAGAAAACAAAAGCUCCAUACCUAAGGUUUCCAUAGCAAUAUGGACUUUCAUAAUAGUUUUCUUUGGAGCGUGUAAAUGUAUUUUGAGAGGUGCAUGGUGCAGGCAAGAGCACUAGGCCUAGGAUAGCAAAACUUACCCAUGUCUGUAAACAAACCAGCAACUAAACAAUGAAGUUCAUUGUAUUUCAAUUGUUUCAAUGUGUUUUUCAAUCCCAUAAUGUUGUACUGUUAUACUGUCUAGAUGAUAGCCGGUGACUGACAUUAUGUAUUUGAACUGAUUAUAUCUUGCCUUUGCAGAUUUCAAUAUCAUCUCAUCAGAAAUCAGUUAAGUUUUUAGUAGAAAGGAGAAAAGAACAACAUAUAGCACCUGAGCAUGUACUCAAAAUUGAUUCAAGUGUUUGGAUGAAUUUUUUUACUCUUGGAUAAUAUAGCGCCUAAACAAUAUUUCAAUUUUGUUAAUGUGGUGAUUCUAGUGACGUUCUCCAGAGAUUUUAAUGUCCAGCCUCAUUUUCCUCUACAUGUGUGGGACUGAAAACUUUACUCUAGAGCUUUUUAUUCUUUUCAGUGACUAUCACAGAAGAUGCCUCAUAGGCUCAUAUGAACCAACAAAUGACAUAUCUUAAGAUUACCAAAUGUAAUAUACAUGCCAAAACAGUUUUGUGACGAUGCAAUACAGUGUAGCUCUUCCUUUUCAAAAGAACCCGCAGCAGAGCGCGGGCAAUCUUUCUAGUUAUUAGCUAUCCAUGAGUCUCGACUUCUGCACUUGAAAAGUAGCAAGGCCUUGUAACCAAAAACAAAACAAAAAAAAGUAGCAAGGCCUUCCCAACCAAGUUUUGCUUCCGCAGAAGCAAUCUGUGAAAAUAACAUCUUUCAAAAUCAUUUUACGUAAAUAAAUCAGUCCUAACCCAAAAUACUCCAUUCCAAAUGUUCAAAUGAAAAAGGUUCAAAUGAGCUCGUUGUUUCAUCUAGUGCUCCACAUAUAAAUACCAAUGCAUGGGACGAUUACCCAUAUAACCAACUGUUAAUCAGAAGCCAUACAAAUGACGAUUAAUACGGAACAAAACCGACAAAUCCUACAAUCUACCUGCACUUUGCAGUUUGCACAAUGCCAAAAUCUAGAAUCAAGAAAAAAAUUAUGCACGACAGCUCCUAGUUGCAUCAAAUGAACACAGAGGAUUUUACAGUCACCCUGUCUAUUUCCUUGAAUCAUCCUCAAAACCCAGUAAGCUGUGUUUCCUUCUCAUUUACAGUUCACUGUAAUGAUAGCUUGCCGUAAAGAGUUGCAUACUCACCGAUCUUCAAGUAUUGGGUUUUUCCUUUUCGAUUUAGAGUGAGAUUUUUGUACCUCUACCAACGUUUUUGUUUAGUCUGUAAGAUCUCUGAUCACAUCUUAAAGUGAAGCUCCAUGAGCAAAAUCACGAAUAGCUGCUGCACGGAAAGAUACAUAAACCUUCUGAUCCCAAUGAACAAUGAUGCCAAAAGGAAGAGUAUAGCUAUACAGUGAGCGGAUGUGGACUAAUCUCAGCAAACAUUCUAUAAUUCAGUACAAUGCCUCCAAAUAGUUCCAUAGAUGAAUGUAGACUCUGAUAACUAGAUAAAUUGAAAUGGUGGAUGCAUCUGAAUCUAGUAAUAAAUUGACGCCUAAAAUAAAAUAUUGGAGCUUUCAUGAAUGGCAGCUAAAAUAAACCCCAAAGCUGGAUAUGAGCUAUUAAAGAUUCAAAAUUUAACAGCUUUAACUGCAUCAUAGUCAUCAUACAAACACUGUUUCCAUUAUAGAUAAAGAACAAACAAUAAUGUCAAGUCCUUGUUACAAUAAUAUGAUUAAAACCUGUUGUUUUCAAGCUAAUUCAUCUUGCUAAUCAGUUCAUUGAUUUUAUCGCCGCGAUCACCAGUGUCUCCACCAUCUUGGAAACGUGCCUUUACUCCUUUCAAUCCUACUUCUGGCUUGUUGAGUGUAAAGGGCCAUAGAAAGCUAGCAGCCUCCUUGAAAUAUUUACCAGUAGAAGCAAUUUCAUGCACUAUGUCUUCUAUGCAUAUGAUAUUAUACUUUGCCAGUGCCUACAAUAUACAACAAUGAGUAUAAGAGAAGGUAUCUUAUAAUGUUGCAAUUAAAAGACUUGGAUUAUAUUGAGAAGGACAUUCAAAUACCUCUUCAAUCAAGUUAUUGUCUGUCAGGGGAACUCUUUGCUUGUUUAUCUUUGCAUAUCCUUUCUUGUAAAUCAACUCCUUCACAUUCUUAAGGUUAGGAUACCUAUGGAAACAAGAAAACUAUGAUCAUUGCUAGGAAAAUUUAAUGCAACAAAAUGAAUUAAAUAAGAUUAAUGAACUUCGAUAUUGUACUUAUUUGAUUUAUUAAAUUAAAUUUUGGGAGACCUUAGCUCCAUGGUGAGAGCUAUUCUACACAAAUGUCUACCAAGCAGCAAUGUGCAUACAAAAACUUUGUACAGCCAAAAGUCAAUAUCACGCAUAGAAGAAGUUCUUCGCAGCUAAACAUGUCUUGAUUGUUAAUUCCUAGUACGGCAACAGAAAUUGGAAAGUUAGAAUACAGAUGCCAAACAGACAAUGUUCGAGAAAUGAAGUUAAGAAGAAAAAGAAUAAGCUAGAGUUGUAUGUGGCCUGCUUUUGAAAUAGAAACCCAUGACCAUGUCCUACUGGCCUGGUUAAUACCUACUUGCCUAACCACAAAGAAUGAUAUAAUAACUGGGCAAACAAUAAGCUAAAGGCACCCUAUUUAGCACCAGCUUAUAAGGUAACAGCGUUUUCUCCCUUGGCAUUCAAAAGAGCACUUGCACCAUCAUAUGCAUAGACGACCAAGGAUACAGCAGAAUGACAUGUCAGAUACAGGCAUGAACAAACCCAUAAGCCUAGUGAUUAGCCAACUUGAAGACAACCCUUGGUCAUUAAUGUUUAAGAUUUUGUUCCUACCCAGGUUGGUUAUAAGUUUUGCUUAGUUGAUCCUGAACAGUGCAGCCUCAACAAACCAAACAACUGUUUAGACCAAGGCUCAAAUAUUAAGGGAAAAACGCCCACAAACAAUAAAUGCGUAGGUAAAAAAUAUAAAAAGAUCCAAAAUAGACAACAUAUGUUGGGAACAAUAUAAACAGAAUACAUAUGUAAGGAAAGACUGAAAAUUGAUCCAUCUGGAUGCCAUAAAAAGGUUACGAAGUUUGUUAGGAACACAAAGUUCUCAUAUACAUCGAAUGCAAAUCCACAAAUAUGAGCUGAAAUUGUUCUCUAUCAAUCAAAUUGUUUGCAAACAAUAAAAGAUUUGGUAUGUUUCCCAUACUAUAAUAUCAAAGAAACUAAUAGUCUAUACCAGAGGAAUGAAUGAUGAGUGUGACAAAAGAAAAGGCAUAAUAAAGCAUACAAUACACAUCAAUCACUAGAAAGGGAGCACUCCUUAACCAAAUGGUAAGCUAGAUUUUCCCAUUCCCACGGUGAGUCAAUUAACCCAUACUUGGAAACAAAUCAUGUGCAAUAGACAGGUUCAGUCAUUCCACCAGCAUGGCAAUUAGGUACUAGACCAUUGUAGUACCUGAUUGCCAAUAUGUCUUGCAUAUGUUCAUCCACUAGCAAAUUUUAGUUUUAUUAUAACAAUAACAAUAGAAAUAUUCAAGUACUAAAAAAUUCGAAUCGCUUACCCAUAGGUAACAUAAGGCUCAACCCUCUGCAACUUUUCUAGCAUUGCUUCGUCUGCUCUCACGAAAACAGCAUUGAAGAUUCUCCUCAAGUUUAAGCUGUAUAAGUUCUUCCUAACAGCAGGAUGCAUGUCAUUUUUCCUGGAAAGAGAAUAUUUAAGAGCUCAGAAAACAGAGAGUUGAAGACAAAUAUAUAUAGAAAAACGAAAAUGUAUAACCGCAAAAUGGAAACCCACCCCUGUAUGCGAAUGACCAAGAGAAGCUGGGGGUUAGUUGUCUCUAUUGCUGACCUCUUUCUCUUUAACCUGUUUUUCAUUUGGACAAGGUCCACCUCCUGAGAAGACACCAAAUAUCUCAAUCAAGGACUGAAUCUGAUAAGAAAGUCUGUGAAAUGAGUCUCAUAUAUCAAAUAACCUAUGGCAACAUUAUGAAACACCUAACAAAUUACCUAAACGCUAUCAAAAUUCUUACACAAAUCUCUAUAAUCUAUACUAAGUUGUAUAUGAUUGUAUUGCAUUCCCUAUCUACAGAUUAAGAUAGUAAGAAUCCGCCCAUUCCGGGUUAAAUGUCUUCACUAACCGCAUUAUAUAUUCCCCUAGCAUAAAAAGGCACCGGCUUUCCAACAUUUGGGGUUCUUAAAUUGCAACUAUUUCUACAUAUAUAUACAAGUAUACUUAUCCUCGACAACAAAUGUGUUGUAAAAUCAAAGUAUGAAAGAGCAUACCCGGUAGCGAAACUCCUUGACAAAGUCCUCAGGUUUCUUGAUAAACUCCUGCUUACUCUUGUUCUGCCGAAAAUUCCUCUGCUCCAGUUGCUCCCUCCUCCUCAAUGCCAAUUCCUCAUUACUUUUCCUCUUCUUCAAUAUAAUCUCCGGCACGGUCGUCAACGGCUGCGCCACCUCUCCACUCAUCUCUCCCUUUUUUCUUUUAUACUGCAACAACACAAAAACACUCAGAACAAAUCUAAUCCCAAUCGGAACAAACAGAAGAGGAGACACAAAUUAACAGUGAAAGGAAGAAAGAAGAAAAUUUACAGGUAUCGGCCGGCUGCAGGGGUUUAGGGUUUAGUGAGGAAGCGGCGAAUGAGAAGACCCGACCCACUGACCCAGUAUAUAUGGCAAUUCGCUUGCAAGUACGAAAAUAACCUUGCAAAAAUAAGGAUAUACGAAAAUUAAUUAAAAUAAAAAUAUAUAUAUAUAUUAUUGUUAUAAAGUAUUGGUUGAUGAAGAAUAAAGUGUAGAGACAAAGAGAUAGCAAGAGAGUCAUCUUAUUCAUUGAUAGGAGCCCUUUAUAUAGGGAAUUACACAAUACCAAUAUGGUAAGGAUAUGAAUACAUAGAUCUAGUCUAACUACAUAUCCUAUUGGCAUAAGGUCAAGGCACACAGAUAGGAGAAUAUCCUAGAACACUCCCCCUUGUGCCGCGCGCUGAUAUGCCGAUGGUGCUGAUCUGUUGCCUCGUCAAAAACCUCGUCAAGUCACAAAAACCCUGUGGGAGAAAAACUGAACCUUGAUCGUAGGAGAAAAAGAGUACAACGCACCCUUCAUAUUUGAUAGUGACAUGUAUGUAUGUGCUAGACUCCCAUGAAGUUCGCACCUCCCCCUGAUCUUUACAUCAAUCAUAGGGCUCUUCUUGAUUCUUACUAAUCACAGAAGUUUCAACAACUUAGCAUGUCAAUGCUUUUUAACAUGUCUUCAAAUGUGGUAUUGGGCAAUGACUAACUAAAUCAUGCCGUAUUGUCCUCAAAUGAUCUUUUACACUUAGAUCUUGAGGAGAAGGUUGCUUGUGAACUCAAAACAUAAGUUCGUGCAGGAAAUCAGAUUUCCGCGUAGCAUGACCUUCAAUUACUAGAACAGUCGUAACUUUCUCUAGGAAAUACAUACGAACGAACCGUAAACGGUUUUGGAAACUAGACUCAUUUAGCUUUCCAACCGUAUAUUACACACGUUCUGGUUCCACAUGAGCUAUUCACAACAUUCCGUCGAAGUUGACUGUUUUGCUAAAAUCAGAUUCUCGGACAGAUUCGUCCUACUUUACGAAAACGGCCAUAACUCACUCAAUAUGAUAGGUAUGAUCAAAUGGUUGGUGUCUCUGGAAAGUAGACACAUAGGCCUUUCCAAUGGUACCAAUUUCACCAUUUUCCAGUGAGUGAGAUUUCCUAUAGGUCUCGUGGAAGUUGACCUACAAAACUUGGCAGAUUCUGAUUUCGCUUUUGAUGUGUCUUUCUUAUGUAGGGAUAGAAUAAGCCUCAACCUUUCAUACCAUUAAGUAUUGAAAAAGGAGUUACUGCCAUUACAUUGGCGUUGCGUGGGCGCAUAGCUACACUUAGCUUUACAACUUUUCAUAGCGAAUGAGAUGUCAAGUCUUUUGUAUUGUGUUGAGUACAUUGAUGCGUCUUUUUGUACUUAGAUGGGAACUCCAUCUCUUAACACAUAUUUGUCAUCUUGCUUUAGACAAAACAACGGAUCUCUCUUUAGAGUAAAGACCAUGACUAAUCAUGAGAGUAUAUGUAGGCCUCACUAGUUAUAGAGCGCCUAAGCCGAUUGAUCAUCAAUACAGUCAUCGAGUGCCUUAUCGAGACUGUGUCUUCCCAAGAUCUUUUUCUUCGGAUGUUGAUACAUAUUGGCAUCUCUUGAUCCAUCAAGAGUCCAUGUAAAUCCGGAAUGAACACGCAAAGGCAUAAUUCACAUAUCCCUUUCAAAUCAAGUAGAGUUCAUGUGCGUUUCAAUACAUUUAGCAAACGCAUGCUCCUGUGGUUUGGAGCAACUUGAUUUGGAUGAAUGAAGUCUGUUUAAGAUCUUCAUGUAUAUCUCUGAUCCCAUAGAGAUGNNNNNNNNNNNNNNNNNNNNNNNNNNNNNNNNNNNNNNNNNNNNNNNNNNNNNNNNNNNNNNNNNNNNNNNNNNNNNNNNNNNNNNNNNNNNNNNNNNNNNNNNNNNNNNNNNNNNNNNNNNNNNNNNNNNNNNNNNNNNNNNNNNNNNNNNNNNNNNNNNNNNNNNNNNNNNNNNNNNNNNNNNNNNNNNNNNNNNNNNNNNNNNNNNNNNNNNNNNNNNNNNNNNNNNNNNNNNNNNNNNNNNNNNNNNNNNNNNNNNNNNNNNNNNNNNNNNNNNNNNNNNNNNNNNNNNNNNNNNNNNNNNNNNNNNNNNNNNNNNNNNNNNNNNNNNNNNNNNNNNNNNNNNNNNNNNNNNNNNNNNNNNNNNNNNNNNNNNNNNNNNNNNNNNNNNNNNNNNNNNNNNNNNNNNNNNNNNNNNNNNNNNNNNNNNNNNNNNNNNNNNNNNNNNNNNNNNNNNNNNNNNNNNNNNNNNNNNNNNNNNNNNNNNNNNNNNNNNNNNNNNNNNNNNNNNNNNNNNNNNNNNNNNNNNNNNNNNNNNNNNNNNNNNNNNNNNNNNNNNNNNNNNNNNNNNNNNNNNNNNNNNNNNNNNNNNNNNNNNNNNNNNNNNNNNNNNNNNNNNNNNNNNNNNNNNNNNNNNNNNNNNNNNNNNNNNNNNNNNNNNNNNNNNNNNNNNNNNNNNNNNNNNNNNNNNNNNNNNNUCUAGACCGGGAGUGUCGCUAUUAGAGCCGGCAACACCUCCCCCUCUUUUCUAGACAUCGGCACGACGUUUUCUGCCGUUGCCAUGACCCAUAUUGUUGUCCCCACAUUAGGGGAUAAUCCCAAAUAAGUUUAUCACAUUAGCAUAUAUACAAUUCUCGUUUGUAUGAUCAAAAUCAAGUCUUGUUGGUAAUUCCACACCAACUUGGAGGACCUAGAGAACUUGAUGAUGAUCGAAUCCGCUAAAGAUUAUGGAUCAUGAUGUCACAAAAGAUCAUCGACAAUAUGUAGUCAAUUAAGGUGGUAAGCAAUCCACUUGACUAAUAACUCAGCAAGUAGAGUUAUAUGAACGUUUCGAGAAAUGCUCCAUGAGUGCAUUCCACAGUACUUUGUGGUCAUUACUUUUUGCACAGGUUGCCAUUGAAGACUUUUGUCGAUGUGGCGCUUCAAAAACUUUGAGCGCAUGAGAUGUGAAAUCUCGGCAUCUAGGCUUGUUAGCCUGGGGGUCAAAACAUAGUGGUUUAAUCCUUUCCAAUGAAAGGUUCCACAGAUACCAAGCGAAGAUCCGCCUUAGGCAUCUAGUACGUCAAAACUCAAAGGAGCAGAAUGUUACAUUGCUCUUGCAUACAAAACCAAGCUGUUAUGAGACUCGAUAGAGGUCACAAACGAUGCUUUUUAAUGGUUUGUCCUUCGGAUUGAUCAUACACAAUCCGGAAAAGCCGCGAAUUGAUCAAACACAAUUCGGAAAAAGGCCUCGGAUUGAUCAAACACAAUCCGGUGAAAGGUCGGGUUGAUCAAACACAACCCGGACAAAGAAACAAGAGUGAUCCAACAUACUCUUGACCCGCGAAUAAAAUUCUGGGAUUUUGGUACCUGCACACACAAAAUCCCAAGCAUAGAAUGGAGAUGGAGAAGGGAGGAAAGGAUUUUAUCCUCCCCGAGUUAUUGAACAUGGAAGAGUUUAAGGUUUCAAAACAUACCUUUCUAAAGGCUGCCGAGAGGAGAAAUAACGUUUCGCCUACUUAUACUUCAAAUUUGGGGCUGAAAAUUUGACAGGAGGAGCAGCUCUGGAUGGGGAAGCUUCUGUCAAAAUUUCAGGUUGAUCGGAGCAAGGGAAGGUGGUGAACCGGUGGUCGGUAGCGGCGGCGGUCUGGAAUUUUCCGGCGGCCGGUUCGGAGACUUUCCGGCCGGUUCUCAGGGUGAGGCCGGCGGCGUUGGAUCCGUGACGGAAAGAGCUUUCUGGGGAUAUAAAAUUCCGACGGAGGGCAGUCGGAGUUUUGGUCGGAAAUCGGGAAAAACAAGGCUGCCCGAUUUUAGGGUUUUGGUUUUUAGGGUUUGGAAAAAAAAUGGUGGGCUAUUGGCUCUAGGGUUAGAACAAAGUGCAUGAUAACGUGAUGAAGAAUAAAGUGUAGAGACAAAGAGAUAGCAAGAGAGUCAUCUUAUUCAUUGAUAGGAGCCCUUUAUAUAGGGAAUUACAUAAUACUAAUAUGGUAAGGAUAUGAAUACAUAGAUCUAGUCUAACUACAUAUCCUAUUGGCAUAAGGCCAAGACACACAUAGAGAAUAUCCUAGAAGAUUGGUUAUAUACCCGGUCUAAAUUAACUCUAUAAACAAAGGUUCCACUCAUUACAAUAAAUCAAAGCUCAUGCAAUUGCAGCCCAAAUCUUACCCAAUUUUAAACUCAAAGGAUUCCAUGGAUCAAAAGUAAACAAGCACUAAACAAAAUUGAUAAUCGAAUCUGAUUCAAAGCUAAUGCCGGAGAUGCUGCAGUGAGUGAAAGUAAAUACGAUUCCCACGAGCACAGAGAAACAAUAUAGGACUCCCUGUUCUGAGAAAGGUAACUCCGAGCCCGAGCAGAAGCUUCACAUAUCCGUUGGACCUCUCCACAUUAACAUUCUCGGCCUCUUCGUUCUUGUUCAGCUCGACGGAGAGCGUCGUGGACCAACAGAGAUUGCUAAGGUGCAACGGAAGAAGAAGAUAAGGGCCUGCGAUCGAUGUAGCUCUCUUCCAUACAAGAAGACGGUGGAGAUUGCAGAGUACAUAUGUACUCGGGUCUCGGUUGAUGGAGAAGAAGAAGAAGAGAUUGAGAAUGUUGUUGUGUGCUAUAUCACCCGUUGGAUUAAUCACGUGGAGGUAUGUGAUGCAAAGGAGAGGAUCCGGAUCCUUAUUUUACAAUGUUUGCCGUAUUAUUUUUGGUCUUGUUAAAAGUUAAAAGUUUUUACUCCAAAGAUUAGAGUUUGGGAAGGGUGAAAAUGGGUUGAAGUAGGAAACACGCGACGUUGCCGUUGAAACUAGACCAUCUGUCUCUAUUCUCCAAAUAAAUUUCCCAAUCUCCACCAAAACCACCGAGAACAAGAAUUGCAGGAAGAAGAACAAGGAGAAGCUUCCAGAAGCGAUAAUUUCGGAAGAUCGGCCUCUCAAUUCGGUGUCGGUGGAUAUGGAAGUUCUUAGCUCAUGGGACGCGCUUCGCAAACAGGUACUCUUCUCUUUCAUUGACCAUCUGUACACAAUUGGCUGUUUGCUUUAUAGGUUUUGAAUUGAGAUGAAUUGUCUGAAUUUGUAUUUCUGAUUUUGAUAACAAUAUUGAAUUGUGCAACCAGUUCAGAAUUUAGAUCGAUUCUUCUUCAUUUGUCUUGAUUUGAGCAAGAAUUCAAUUGAAUUGGCAAACAAAUUAAAAUUUUAGGGACUUGUUGUUGAUUUAUGCUCAAUUUUACUGCGAUUUAUUUUUGUUUCGUGGCUAAUCAUGAAAAAAUCAAACAGUGUACUUGUAUCGCCACACUGAGACUAACAACUAUACACAAGGUGUUAAAACUUUUUUACAUUGGUUCUAGGAUUCGGCAGGUUACAAUUUUAGUUUCUGUUACUGAAAACGGGUCUUAUGUGAAUGCUUUCAAUAUAUGGUGUUAGUGAUACCAAUAUUUUUUCUAUGGGUGGUAAUGGUACACCAACUCUUAAAGGCUGCUGAUUCCAAUCCUUCCAAUAACCUACUUCAUUUAUCGAGACUUAUUCUGCUUGUUUAUAAACUAAAACCAUUUCUUAUUUUGUUGUGGAUUUAAUUCUAAAGAAUUAGAUAAUGUGUUGGAUUAUGAGAUUCUAUGGCUUAAGUUUGGCCUAUAAAGUUGGGUUAUAAAAUUCUACUAGUACAAAAUUUGUUCCACUUGUUCCAAAAACCAGUAAUAUGAUGAUUGGCAUGAGACCACCAUCUUGACGAUCAAGAAGAGCUACAACUGAGGCAUCUCGUGAAGAUGCCACACAGCUAAGAAACAUCAAACAUCAGCUCCCUUUGGAGCAGAAUUUUGUAUUGAUAGAGGAUACUUGUCCCAUAAUGAUUAAUGGUUAUUAGAACCUUUCAUAAAGCAGCCUCCCCCCACCUGUAAAAGCCUUUUAGUAAGAUCUGACCUAAGAAACUAUGGGAUUAGCAACUAUUUCGACUUAUAUCUUGAAGCUCUCCAUCAGUAAUUUUAAUUUCCAAUCUUGCUCAGCUUAUUGAAAAUAGGAGACAUUGGAUCUGAUCAUCAGACCAUGAGACUUGAAUCACUUGAUGAUAUAAUCCUCAACCCAAGCAAUUUACUACACAGUUUGAAUGUGCCUAGCAUAUUUUAUGUUAAUUGCUUCCCUUUGCUGUCUCUUUCAUACACUUCUGUUCAAACCAACUCUUGAAAUCUGCAAUUUUGAUACCAUAAAAUAUAAAUGAAUAUUGUAUCUGUCUCUAAUUUCAGGCCAGGAAGCUUGAAGCUCAGUUGGAUGAACAGAUGAAUUCUUAUCGUAGGUUUGUCUCUGCAAAGGGUUCUGUCAAAUUUGAUGCUGAUAGUGAUCUUGAAUCUGGGAUAGACCGACUAUUAAAGCAACUCCAACAAGUAAAUAUACAAAUGCAAGCAUGGGUAUCAUCAGGAGGAUCAGAAAUGGUUUCUCAUACCUUGACUAGACAUCAAGAGAUUCUUCAAGAUCUCACUCAGGUAUUCUGGCCUCUUGACUAUGCCAACAGGCGAACUGGCAUGGCAGUUUAAUAUUUGUACUGUUAAUUUAGGUGUUCCUUAGACGUUUUAUGUCUCAAAUGAAAAAUGCAUGAAUGGUAUAUAUUUUAUGAUCUAUCACGCCUCCGUGUAGUUCUGUCUGAACUUGAGUCGAUACCUGCACGUGUUUAGGAAGAAGUUAGAGUUAACAACCAAUUUUCUUUACUCAAUUAUUAAGUAUAUUUGACUUGCCGCCUUUGAUCUUGUUUCUGAAAAAAAAGUUGAAUGAUAACUUUGGUCUUUAUCAUUCUGAUUUCAUGUGAAGUUGAAGUUGAACAGCUAAUAAUGGGGUAACCAAUUUCACUUUCCGAAGGAUGAUUCUGACAUUAACUUUUGUUUGAUGUUACUAUCCUCGUGUAACUAGGUUUAGUGUCAUGGCAACUUUCACAUUCGUUUUCUUUGCAAUUUUUAUCCAGUCAUGUAUCAUCAUGCACUCUAUGUAUCUAUAAAACAAUAUUAACUAGAAUAAGAUUGAACCUAGCAGACACUAACUUGCUGUUUGACAUGGUUGAAGUGCAGGAAUUUUAUCGUCUCCGCUCCAGCCUUAGAGCUAAGCAGGAGCACGCUUCAUUACUUGAGGAUUUUAGGGAGUUUGAUAGAUCUAGAGUAGACUUGGAAGCUGGUGGAGAUUCUGCAGAUAAUGCUCUCCUAAAAGAACAUGCUUCUGUUAGCCGAAGUACAGGGCAGGUAUGUAAAGGGAAAAAAUGACAAGUUUUUGUCCAUGAGGUUAAGGUUUGGCUGGUUAAAGGAUAAUCAAUUUCGGACAUGCAGUUUGAUUAGCUUUCUGGCUGCUCAAAAUUGAAGUUCUCAUGUUUGUUGUGGUUAUGCAGAUGGAUACCGUGAUCUCUCAAGCUCAAGCAACUCUGGGUGCACUUGUCCUUCAACGUUCAACGUUUGGUGGUAUUAAUUCAAAGCUCAGCAAUAUUGGCAGCCGCCUUCCAACGGUAUUAAACCUGUAGUUCUAGCCGUUGAUGUUUUAGUUGUUUCUUUCGUAUUGACAAAGAUGUUAAUUCACAUUGGUUUUUAUUUAAAAAAAAAAAAAAAAAACCUACGAAACAUUGUGGAUGAGGAUCUUUUUAUCCAAAAAUGUUAAAUUUAAUUCAUUUUUCUGAUAAGCUAGAUGCUUUGUUUUAAGGGGAUUGCAAGAGAAAUAUAGGAUAAAAAUGAUGACUGAUACGUAUAUAUAGUUAUAUUCUGUUAUCGUAGUAUGAGUACUAUUAUUGAAUAAUGUCCCAUGUCAUGUCUGCAGGUAAGUCAUAUCCUCUCUGCAAUAAAGCGUAAAAAGUCUAUGGAUACCAUCAUUCUUUCCCUUGUCGCAUCAGUGUGCACAUUUCUCAUAUUUAUCUACUGGUUGACAAAGUAAGGCUGCAAGAGGAACUGGUACAUGUGGGGGACUGUGUAAGUGAGAAAGGGAAUCUGUUACGAUUUUUUUGCUUCAAUUUUUCUUUGAUGAACCGGUUAUUUGUCUCUCAAAUGUUUAGAUGUAUGAAAACAAUAUCAAUCUAUGUGGUUAUUUCCAGUCUAUUGCUUGUUCAGUCAUGCAGUUCAGUUUCAAUUUUUUAAUUUUCAGUUUUCAGCAGGAUGAAACAACAUGCACCCGCUCAAUUUGUAAGUGAACUGUAUAAUAUAUCAAUACAUAAAAUUUUCCAAAAAUUUGUUUUAUGUUCUUUUAUAUUAUUUAAAGUCUAGGUUAGGGCCAAAGAGGUGGAUUUGUAUGGUUUGCUAAAGUGCUAAAAGAGUAGGACUGAAUUGUAAGGAAGAGAGGUGUUAUAUAUGUGUUUGUUUAUCUUUAAUAUUAAUUGAACUUUACACUGGGAUGUCCUCUCUGUUCUGCCUCCUCGCCCUCCUCCCCUUGAACAUUUACAUUAGAAGGGCAUUUAAAACAACCUCCCAUCAGAACCACAGUUAGUCCUUACCGUUGUAUGGUAUGUAUUUUUGCGAAUAGUGAUAUUUGCAUACUCUGAUUUGGAAAUUGUACCCAUCAGAAUCACCAGACUUCGUCUGACCUCAAAGUCAGGUGGUGAUGAACUUAGUGUCUGAUAAAGUAGCGGUGUGAGGUUAGGGGCAUGGGGUGCUUUUGAGGUUUCAGGGUAGUUGUGCAAUUUACAGUGACUUCGUUUGCCGGUUAGAAUUAAUGUAUAGGUGGUAAGCAUGGAAAUGCCAGAAGUAUCUAUUGGCGGCUAGUGGUAUGUGGGGUGUAUCUAGGUCUAUUUUGGUGCCUCCAUGAGUUUCUGCUGAUUCUGAACUAAAAUGGAAGGGGAGUUAUGGUCUUAUGGACCCAGUGCAGUGGGUGGACAUAUCCUCUUGUAAGCAAACUUAGCAACAGAGUCAGCUCUGCUGGAUGAAAUCCGGCUAACAUUAAGAAAGAAGCUAAUAGGCAGUGAAAAAAGACCAGUCCAAUCAAUGCAAGUAUCGGAGCACCUCAAUGAAGAGAUUAAAAAGGUAAGGAACCUUACGCCACCAUCACCACCACUGGAAAAGUGGGAAGAAAUGAAGCCAAUCCCGAAAAUGCUGAAGAAAAACGGGCAUUUAAAAAGAGGACCUGAGCUAUCCCGUACAAGAGAGCCAAAACACAUUGAAAUGAGGAGGCAUGCCAUAAAGCAUCAGGGUCAAUUUUGGUUGAUCCCAGAAGAGAAGAAACAAUAGGGAGCACCAAGUCAGGUCGUUGAGACAGCAGCAAAUGCUUUGGAGGCAACAAUUGCCGAGGGUGGGUCAACAGAGGUAAGUUGAGUAAUCAAAUAUGAUCCAUCCAAACCAGGCAGAGACUGAUGGUAAAGACAAUUAAGCCAGUCGUAAGAAGUAAUUGCAGCUAACAGAACACAAUAUCCCAAAGAAUAAAGGGGUGCGUUUGAAAAUGAAAUCAAUAUGGGGAGCUGGUAACAUGUAUGAUGAGUCAGAAUGUGCGUGUCCAAAUAGGUUGGGAUGCCGAUUCUCAGUACUCACUACACAGGACAGGGAGAUUUGGUCUCUCAUAGUGAUUCUUGGUACUGUUAUUUGCUCUAUAUGGAUCUAAAGAUUUGCGUGCUUGUUCAGCAAACAUGAAUCAUUUUCUUCAAAUGGAAGUUUAUGGUAUUAGCUAGUCUCUUGAUUAGGUAGUUUUUAACUUGUUGGUUGGGUCUGCCUGCUCUCGUUUUCACUUUUUAAGUUUUCAAAGGGUGUUAAUUCAUUGGUAACAUAAUACAGAUUCAUUACUUGAGAAAUAUGCAUGAGAGAGGUCUGCGACUUCUCUCUCAACAAUGAGUAAAAUUUCACAACUCUCAUCCAUAUUAACAAAAUAACAAUGAAAUUUAAUCAACGUAACCCGAGCUUAGGCCAAAUUGUAGAGGAUCCACCAGCAAUCUAAGCACACCCCCUAGGCCUUGGAAUCACCACCUUGCCGUCAUCGACGCACCUCCUCGGCGGCAGAGUUGUGCCCUCGUUUCCUCUGCCGGUUUCUAUUCUUGGUGAUAUUUUGAUUCCCUUUAGUAAAUCUGAAAUCCCAAAGAGAAUAGAAUCGAUCGAGCACAAGGCUAAAUAUGAGAGUUGACUAGUUUUUCAUGUGAAGUACUGAAGUGAAAGUGGUGUCAAAUAGGUGAUAAUGUUGGGUCCAUUACUGUACUAGCAUGGACAUGAAACUUAGAUAGAUAAGACUAACCAAUGUCGGACAGAGAGAAAGCACAAGCUAUGAACUUACAUGUGAUUUUUCUCUAAGUGGGGAGAAGAGGACUGAAAGGUUUUCAUGUGUUUGGAGACUUGGAGAAGUUUAAUCAUAUCAAUCUAUGUGGGCAGAGAUAAGAUUAGAUGGAUUCCUAAGAAGGGCCAAAGUUGAUCAUGACUUUUAACUUCAAACUAGAUUCGAACACCCACCAUCUCUACACAGAGAGGAACUGAGAGACAGAAAAAAUCUAUCAGAAGAUAUGCCUUUGAGCUCCAUUCAAAUUGGAUUGGACAAAGCAAGCAAAAAGCCAACAAAAGAGGAAUCAUAGCAAAGCAAAUAGACAAUCUUAAAGAUAGUCAUUGCACUCAAAUACAUACUAGUAGUGAUAGGCAAUUUCAUCAUUUCUUCAACCAUGAAAACCCACGUUGUGCUUCAUCAGUAGUCAGUACAUGUCAAAUCAUAGUUGGAUAAUAAUGCAUAUAUUUUGUCUAAGCUUUUGGAUGGCGCGCGACCCCUUCUUGUACAAGUUAAUUAAUUGUUAGAAUUUAAUUUUCUCUUAAGUUCUUCUCUAACUAUCACAAUCUUAAAGAAAUUCGUUUGUAAAAGCAUUGAUUUUUGGUGUAGUUUGAUACUUCAUGAUGUUCUAUAUCUUUUAACAAUUUGAUGACUUGGAAAUCCUACGCUACCUAAUUACUAAGGGUUUUCCUACUCAACACUCUUCAGAAACGGCGAAAAAAAGUCUCUCUCUCCCUAGAGUUUCUCUCUAGGUCUAGGGUUUCAUAGUUUCUUUUGGCAAAUUCUCUCCUCCGGUAAAAUGGUCGACGAGGUAUCCAGAUUGACGGCAGCGUUGGCGAUCUUGGAGAAAAGUAAGGUGUCCUUUAGAGCCGCCGGAGCAGCGGCGUACUCGGGCCAUGCGUAUGCGGUGGGGCGUCUGCUCUCAUCUAAGAAGAAAAUGGUUCCAAAAUCGUUCAUGGCAACAAUGACCGCCAUGUGGGGGAAGAAGAAUCGGCUACAGAUCGGACAAGAAGGAGAUCAGAAUGUUCUUCGAUUCACUGAGAAGGAAGAACGUGAUCAGAUCGUGAGAGGAGGACCUUGGUUUUAUGGGAAAUCCAUGUUUGCCCUAGCUAAUUACAAUGGAAGGACGGCGGCAUAAGGCCAAGGCACACAUAAAACUGCAUAUCCUAAUGGCAUAAGGCCAAGGCACAUAUAAAGAAUAUCUAGAAAGAUACAGAAUAUCCUAGAACACUCCCCCUUGUGCCGCGCGCUGAUAUGCCGAUGGUGCUGAUCUGUUGCCUCGUCAAAAACCUCGUCAAGUUACAAAAACCCUGUAGGAGAAAAACUGAACCUUGAUCGUAGGAGAAAAAGAGUACAACGCACCCUUCACAUUUGAUAGUGACAUGUAUGUAUGUGUUAGACUCCCCCUGAAGUUCGCACCUCCCCCUGAUCUUUACAUCAAUCAUAGGGCUCUUCCUGAUUCAUACUAAUCAUUGAUAGGAGCCCUUUAUAUAGGGAAUUACACAAUACCAAUAUGGUAAGGAUAUGAAUACAUAGAUAUAGUCUAACUACAUAUCCUAAUGGCAUAAGGUAAGGAUAUGAAUACAUAGAUAUAGUCUAACUACAUAUCCUAAUGGCAUAAGGCCAAGGCACACAUAAAACUGCAUAUCCUAAUGGCAUAAGGCCAAGGCACACAUAAAGAAUAUCUAGAAAGAUACAGAAUAUCCUAGAACACUCCCCCUUGUGCCGCGCGCUGAUAUGCCGAUGGUGCUGAUCUGUUGCCUCGUCAAAAACCUCGUCAAGUUACAAAAACCCUGUGGGAGAAAAACUGAACCUUGAUCGUAGGAGAAAAAGAGUACAACGCACCCUUCACAUUUGAUAGUGACAUGUAUGUAUGUGUUAGACUCCCCCUGAAGUUCGCACCUCCCCCUGAUCUUUACAUCAAUCAUAGGGCUCUUCCUGAUUCUUACUAAUCAUUGAUAGGAGCCCUUUAUAUAGGGAAUUACACAAUACCAAUAUGGUAGGGAUAUGAAUACAUAGAUCUAGUCUAACUACAUAUUCUAAUGGCAUAAGGCCAAGGCACACAUAAAACUGCAUAUCCUAAUGGCAUAAGGCCAAGACACACAUAAAGAAUAUCUAGAAAGAUACAGAAUAUCCUAGAACACUCUCCCUUGUGCCGCGCGCUGAUAUGCCGAUGGUGCUGAUCUGUUGCCUCGUCAAAAUCCUCGUCAAGUUACAAAAACCCUGUGGGAGAAAAACUGAACCUUGAUCGUAGGAGAAAAAGAGUACAACGCACCAUUCACAUUUGAUAGUGACAUGUAUGUAUGUGUUAGACUCCCCCUGAAGUUUGCACCUCCCCCUGAUCUUUACAUCAAUCAUAGGGCUCUUCCUGAUUUAUACUAAUCAUUGAUAGGAGCCAUUUAUAUAGGGAAUUACACAAUACCAAUAUGGUAAGGAUAUGAAUACAUAGAUCUAGUCUAACUACAUAUUCUAAUGGCAUAAGGCNNNNNNNNNNNNNNNNNNNNGUGGCAUUAGGCAAUGAUUAACUAAAUCAUGCCGUGUUGUCCUCAAAUGAUCUUUUACACUUAGAUCUUGAGGGGAAGGCCGCUUGUGAACUCAAAACAUAAGUUCGUGCAGAAAAUUAGAUUUCCGCGCAGCAUGAUCUUCAGUUACUAAAACAGUCGUAACUUCCUCUAGGAAAUACAUAUGAACGAACCGUAAAGGGUUUUGGAAACUAGACUCAUUUAGCUUUCCAACCGUAUAUUACACUCCAU
rnacentral:lncRNA from 1 species